UCCUUUGUUUUGCCGUUUAUUUUUUGUGGUUAUGUUUGCAGGUUCUCGGUUGUGCAAAUGGAUUUCCAGUUUUAAAAGGAAAAUUGAUUCCAAGUUAACUAACUCUCUCAACUGUAAAUAAUCUUCUAUUUAUAACAUUCGAUCUGGCACAUAUUGGGUUUUCUGAAAACAAAGAUGUGGCCAAUUCUUAUGAGAGCGUUGAGAGGGUAUGCCCCUUAUAUUACCCUCCCUGCAGCUGCCUUAAUUGGAGCGAUCGGUUAUAACAUUGAGAGCUACCUGUCAGAUAAAUACACUCCUUAUUCAGAAAGUAUCCAGGAAAAAAGGAUGGACAGAUACUUGGAAGAAGCCGACUCAAUCACUGUAAAACCAUUGAAAGAAAAGGCGUUUAUACCACCAACUAUAUUCGAAAAGAAUGUUUCACCGUCACUCAAAGGAAAAGACUAUAAUUAAUAUGUGUGAGUUCGACUGUUCCUUCAGUUUAGUAGGUGUACAACUUCUAAGUCAAUCCUGUUUAAGCUUUAGUGUUUAGUUAUCUGGUGCUGUGCAAAUAGCCUUCUCUUAAUAAAUUUGUUACUUACUAUUUUUACUAUUUGAACAAUUUGCAACAAUGUUGUUGAGAUUAGAAAAUAUUAGUAAUAAUAAUCACAACUCAUGACAAAUUAUAAAAUAGCUAAAAACGUUAUGUUGUGGCUACUUUAAAGUUCUACUUUAAUCGUACCGUUGUGCCUCAUAAUUGUAUUAUAUCAAUUCGAUGUAUCUUUAAUUGAUUGGGUUGGCUGAAACAAAAAGAGAAUAUCACUAGUUCAAAUGGGAGUGUUCAGAUAUUAGUAGUCUUUGAUUGUGUGAACACUCCUAUAAGAAUCAAUAGUACUCCGUUUCUGCUCACAAGAGCUGAAAUUCAUUGGAUAACAGUAGUCUAAUUAUUAAAGUACUUGAAUAUUUCACUACUGUAAAAGGUUUAAAUUAAGUCACAAAAUUUGACAACAAUUCAAUGAGUUGGAUUAGUAGGAUCAACCAAUUUUUAAUUAUUGUAUUCAGUGAAAAACAACAUUUCCAAAAUUAUAAAAAAACUACUUUUAUAUUCUCAUGAAUCUACAGUAGAAAAAUACUGUUUCAAUGACUAUUUUAAUUACUACAUCAACUUCCUUUCUGAACCUUCCAGAUUGUACCUUACAAAAUGAAAACGUCUCAUCCAAACAGUUACUUUUCAUACGAUUAAUGGUAAACAUUUUCAUAAUAAAUGUACUUUAAAUGUAUUGACUUUAAUUUUUUUCUUAUGGAUGUUGUUAUAGUAUUGUUCUCCUCUUUGUAAUAUGAUUACAAUGGAUCUAUCAUUAUCAUUACAUUUUGGAGAACAUGGUAAAUAAGCUCUGUUAUAAAAAAAGAUACAAUAGCUUUAAUAAUUGGAAAGUAAACUGUAUUCAACAGCUGAGAUUACCUAUUUUUUUCAAUACAGCCUUUUAGAAGUCAGUCCGCUGUAUUAUCUAACAAAAAUUACAAUUGAAUCAUAAUAUUGACCUGAUUUUUCAAUGUGACUUAGUAUUGGGACCUAACAGGAACACCUCGUUCUCUCGGGUGUACCAGGUUUCAUCAGAACUAUAUUUUCUUCUUUUGAGUUCUUUACUUUCCCCAUUAGACUUCCAUCUUGCUUCAUCAUUACUUCCACCAGAAAUCUGAAAAAUAAAAUUUUUGAAUUGAUGAAGUGAACUUGUCAGAUUUAAGUUUGUUCCAUUUGACACAAUCAUUUUGUUUAUUGUC